CACGUAGGGUGCGAGCGUUGUCCGGAAUUAUUGGGCGUAAAGAGCUCGUAGGCGGUCUGUCGCGUCGGUCGUGAAAACUUGGGGCUUAACCCUGAGCUUGCGGUCGAUACGGGCAUGACUGGAGUUCGGCAGGGGAGACUGGAAUUCCUGGUGUAGCGGUGAAAUGCGCAGAUAUCAGGAGGAACACCGGUGGCGAAGGCGGGUCUCUGGGCCGUAACUGACGCUGAGGAGCGAAAGCGUGGGGAGCGAACAGG
rnacentral:rRNA from 1 species